rnacentral:lncRNA from 1 species
CUUUAACACUGCCAAUUUAUAUUCAUUUAAAUGCACAACUCAAAUCUAAAUGUUGUGGUUAAAUCUAAAAAAAAAAAAAGUAUAAAUAGAGUAGUAUAACAUACGUUUAAGUGUAAUUGUCAUUUUCUAUUAAAGUGAACGUCUCAAGAUAACGUGGGCGUGGUUUAUGAACCUUGUUACCAACAUGUUAGAAUUACUUAACCCACAUCCCCAGUUUAUCAAUAAUAACACCGGCGUGUAAACACUACAGCAUCAAUAGAAACUUACAGAAUUAUUUUAAUGCAAAACAUAAGUAGUAGGAGGGACUAACGUUACGUACAGAAGCACUUCACGCGGAAAGUUACUUACAGAAAACAGGGUGUUUGGACACCCAGUCAACAGAUGCAGAGCUCUGGGACAUGUGGAAAGAUAUUUGCUUUAAUGAUGGACAUCUGCUCAUGGACAGCUGAAAAGCAUAACCACUGCCAAACAUUAUGCUGGGACCCCAACCAUCCCCACCCCUUCACUCAUAAUGCAGAGAUUUGCCUGGGCUCAAACCAGCAACCUCUGAACCAUGAGGCAGUGUUCUUACCUGUGAGCCAUAGAUCUCUUGUUGAAAUGUGUGAAGGAACUUAUAGUUCACUGUUAACCUGUAUGUGCCCUGUGAUUUUACAAUAAACUAGUUAAAGCUUUCUUU